rnacentral:tRNA from 1 species
GCCCCCGUGGUGUAACUGGAUAGCCACGCUGGUCUUAGGAACCAGUGCCUUCGGGCGUGUCAGUUCGAGUCUGACCGGGGGUACCA